UGGGGAAUAUUGCGCAAUGGGCGAAAGCCUGACGCAGCAACGCCGCGUGAGUGAAGAAGGCCUUCGGGUUGUAAAGCUCUUUCGGUUGGGAAGAAGGUCAUAUGUGCUAAUAGUAUGUAUGAUUGAUGGUACCAAAAGAAGAAGCACCGGCUAACUUCGUGCCAGCAGCCGCGGUAAUACGAAGGGUGCGAGCGUUGUUCGGAAUUAUUGGGCGUAAAGGGUUCGUAGGUGGGAAUGUAAGUUAUAUGUGAAAUCCCAGGGCUUAACCCUGGUUGUGCAUGUAAUACUGCAUUUCUUGAGUGUUGGAGAGGGUGAUGGAAUUGCUGGUGUAGGAGUGACAUCCGUAGAGAUCAGCAGGAACGCCGGAGGCGAAAGCGGUUGCCUGGCCAAACACUGACACUGAGGAACGACAGCGUGGGGAGCAAACAGG
rnacentral:rRNA from 1 species